AUCAUGUAAACAUUGCAUAAUAGUUCUGAAAGAUAACGUGUAAUUCUAACAAGCUGAAUUCAGGAUUUGGUAACAAAGACAAGCUGUCUGCAGAAAUGAAUCAGGAUUGCAGAUUGGAAGGCAACAAGUACAUCAGGUAUUAUUGCUGAGAUACUGAAAAUACCUUGCAAAGUAGGCCCAAGUCUAGUCAACAACAUAGUCAACCAGAUAAAACUAAGAGGUGUUCCCUUGUAUUACUUGGCACAGCAAUAUAAUCAUCAACUGCUUAAAAGGAAAAAGAAAGGUAUCUGAUGGACUAAGUUGGUGAAUGUAACAGAAAGAUUAACAAAAGAUGAGAUGCAAUUCAAAUUUGUGAUUGGUCAAGCUACUUCUUACAAAAAUUAUCAAUAUUUUCUAAGGUAACACUGCAUAUCAUUAAUACUACUUCAUAUAAACUAACACUGUUGUUGUUGGCACUCCGUUGCUUACAACGUCGAGGGUUCCAGUUGAUCCGAUCAACGGAACAGCCUGCUCGUGAAAUUAACGUGCAAGUGGCUGAGCACUCCACAGACACAUGUACCCUUAACGUAGUUCUCAGGAAGAUUCAGCGUGACACAGUGUGACAAGGCUGACCCUUUGAAAUACAGGUACAACAGAAACAGGAAGUGAGAGAAAGUGGUGGAGGAAGAGUACAGCAGGGUUCGCCACCAUCCCCUGCCAGAGUCUCGUGGAGAUUUAGGUGUUUUUGCUCAAUAAAC